CAGCAGCCGCGGGAAUACGUAGGUGGCAAGCGUUGUCCGGAAUUAUUGGGCGUAAAGGGCUCGCAGGCGGUUUCUUAAGUCUGAUGUGAAAGCCCCCGGCUCAACCGGGGAGGGUCAUUGGAAACUGGGAAACUUGAGUGCAGAAGAGGAGAGUGGAAUUCCACGUGUAGCGGUGAAAUGCGUAGAGAUGUGGAGGAACACCAGUGGCGAAGGCGACUCUCUGGUCUGUAACUGACGCUGAGACUCGAAAGCGUGGGGAGCAAACAGGAUUAGAUACCCCGGUAGUCCCUGUCUCUUAUAC
rnacentral:rRNA from 1 species